GAUGAACGCUGGCGGCGUGCCUAAUACAUGCAAGUCGAGCGAACAGACGAGGAGCUUGCUCCUCUGACGUUAGCGGCGGACGGGUGAGUAACACGUGGAUAACCUACCUAUAAGACUGGGAUAACUUCGGGAAACCGGAGCUAAUACCGGAUAAUAUAUUGAACCGCAUGGUUCAAUAGUGAAAGACGGUUUUGCUGUCACUUAUAGAUGGAUCCGCGCCGCAUUAGCUAGUGGGUAAGGUAACGGCUUACCAAGGCGACGAUGCGUAGCCGACCUGAGAGGGUGAUCGGCCACACUGGAACUGAGACACGGUCCAGACUCCUACGGGAGGCAGCAGUAGGGAAUCUUCCGCAAUGGGCGAAAGCCUGACGGAGCAACGCCGCGUGAGUGAUGAAGGUCUUCGGAUCGUAAAACUCUGUUAUUAGGGAAGAACAAAUGUGUAAGUAACUAUGCACGUCUUGACGGUACCUAAUCAGAAAGCCACGGCUAACUACGUG
rnacentral:rRNA from 1 species